GAUGAACGCUGGCGGCGUGCCUAAUACAUGCAAGUCGAGCGAACGGACGAGAAGCUUGCUUCUCUGAUGUUAGCGGCGGACGGGUGAGUAACACGUGGAUAACCUACCUAUAAGACUGGGAUAACUUCGGGAAACCGUAGCUAAUACCGGAUAAUAUUUUGAACCGCAUGGUUCAAAAGUGAAAGACGGUCUUGCUGUCACUUAUAGAUGGAUCCGCGCUGCAUUAGCUAGUUGGUAAGGUAACGGCCUACCAAGGCAACGAUGCAUAGCCGACCUGAGAGGGGGAUCGGCCACAUUGGAACUGAGACACGGUCCAGACUCCUACGGGAGGCAGCAGUAGGGAAUCUUCCGCAAUGGGCGAAAGCCUGACGGAGCAACGCCGCGUGAGUGAUGAAGGUCUUCGGAUCGUAAAACUCUGUUAUUAGGGAAGAACAUAUGUGUAAGUAACUGUGCACAUCUUGACGGUACCUAAUCAGAAAGCCACGGCUAACUACGUG
rnacentral:rRNA from 1 species